rnacentral:rRNA from 1 species
UACGUAGGGUGCGAGCGUUAAUCGGAAUUACUGGGCGUAAAGCGUGCGCAGGCGGUUAUGUAAGACAGAGGGGAAAACCCCGGGCUGAAACUGGGAACUUCCUUUGUUACUGCAUGACUAGAGUACGGCAGAGGGGGAUGGAAAUCCGCGUGUAGCAGUGAAAUGCGUAGAUAUGCGGAGGAACACCGAUGGCGAAGGCAAUCCCCUGCGCCUGUACUGACGCUCAUGCACGAAAGCGUGGGGAGCAAACAGG